rnacentral:rRNA from 1 species
UACGUAGGGGGCAAGCGUUGUCCGGAAUCAUUGGGCGUAAAGCGCGUGUAGGCGGUCCGGUAAGUCCGCUGUGAAAGUCGGGGGCUCAACCCUCGGAUGCCGGUGGAUACUGUCGGGCUUGAGUACGGAAGAGGCGAGUGGAAUUCCUGGUGUAGCGGUGAAAUGCGCAGAUAUCAGGAAGAACACCCAUGGCGAAGGCGGCUCUCUGGGACGUGACUGACGCUGAGACGCGAAAGCGUGGGGAGCAAACAGG